GACGAACGCUGGCGGCGUGCCUAAUACAUGCAAGUCGAACGCAGUGGGGACGGGUGAGUAACACGUGGGUAACCUCCCAUCAGAGGGGAUAACACUUGGCAACAGGUGCUAAACCGAUACUGAUGGAUGGACCCGGGGUGCAUUAGCUAGUGGGGGGGGUAACGGCUCACCAAGGCCACGAUGCAUAGCCGGCCUGAGAGGGUGAUCGGCCACACUGGGACUGAGACACGGCCCAGACUCCUACGGGAGGCAGCAGUGGGGAAUCUUCGGCAAUGGGCGAAAGUCUGACCGAGCAACGCCGCGUGAGUGAAGAAGGUUUUCGGAUCGUAAAGCUCUGUUGUUAGAGAAGCGGUAUCUAACCAGAAAGCAACGGCUAACUACGUGCCAGCAGCCGCGGUAAUUC
rnacentral:rRNA from 1 species